CUACGGGCCGCACCAGUUAGGAAUAAUCUGCAAUGCGCGAAAGCGUGACAGUUUGAACCAGAGUGCUUUCUAAAAUAGACAGCUUUUUUGCACUGUAAAAAGGUGUAAGAAUAAGGACUGGGUAAGACUAGUGCCAGCCGCCGCGGUAAUACUAGCGGUCCAAGUCGCAAUCACAUUUAUUGGGUCUAAAACAUCCGUAGCUUGCUUAAUAAGUUUUCUGUGAAAUUUUAUGUCUUAAACAUAAAGCGGGCAGAAAAUACUGUUGAGCUAGAGACUGGAAGACGUAAGGAGUACGUUUAAAGUAACGGUAAAAUGUGUUAAUCUUAAACGGACUAACAAUAGCGAAGGCACCUUACGAGGACAGUUCUGACAGUAAGGGAUGAAGGCUAGGGGCGCAAAACGGAUUAGAUACCCUGGUAGUC
rnacentral:rRNA from 1 species